rnacentral:piRNA from 1 species
UUUGAUUGCGAAUGCACGUCCUUGAGCAGA